rnacentral:rRNA from 1 species
GACGAACGCUGGCGGCGUGCCUAAUACAUGCAAGUAGAACGCACAGUUUAUACCGUAGCUUGCUACACCAUAGACUGUGAGUUGCGAACGGGUGAGUAACGCGUAGGUAACCUGCCUGGUAGCGGGGGAUAACUAUUGGAAACGAUAGCUAAUACCGCAUAAUAUUAAUUAUUGCAUGAUAAUUGAUUGAAAGGUGCAAUUGCACCACUACCAGAUGGACCUGCGUUGUAUUAGCUAGUAGGUGAGGUAACGGCUCACCUAGGCGACGAUACAUAGCCGACCUGAGAGGGUGAUCGGCCACACUGGGACUGAGACACGGCCCAGACUCCUACGGGAGGCAGCAGUAGGGAAUCUUCGGCAAUGGACGUAAGUCUGACCGAGCAACGCCGCGUGAGUGAAGAAGGUUUUCGGAUCGUAAAGCUCUGUUGUAAGAGAAGAACGGGUGUGAGAGCGGAAAGUCAC